UGUUUGGAACGGCCCGCAGCCUAUUCUGGGAUGUUUGACACCAAUUGCAUCAGAGCCGGUUCUGCUGGCACGAUGCCCCUUCCUGGAUCAGAGUGCGGCUCUGUUUAUCUUCAUAAUGGAGGCGCUGGUGAAUGUGAAUCAGCAUAUGGAGACUCUACAAGGUCAUCAGCAGCCAACGAGAGACCGACAUUGAGCAGAGGGAUUUAUCGCUGGGAAAACCUUGGCUCCGUAUCUAUUCGCCUAAACUCUGGAACACUGAAAGCAAUUGUUUUCCUUUCCAAACCACGUGCAGCAUGUCAUGAAUGUUUGCGCUGUAGCCUAUUGCGUAUUUCCAUUUCCCCUUUUUAGGACUUUCAUUUCACACUACACCAGUGAGAAGACACGUGCAUCUUUGAAACGGCUUUCACCGCCCAUCGGUCUCUCUAAGAAAACAACACAGCCCCUUUGAUUUCUUUACUUUGUUUUGAUGAAGAAUUCAUUUCUUAAUCGGCGCCGCGGUGGUGCAAUAUUGAUGCCCCCUCUGACCCACUUCGAGGGCUUCUCCACUGAGAAGGCGACCACCAGGACUAGGGCUCUCGGCCCCGCAGCAUGCCUGGGGCCCAGGGAGAUGGGGAGAGCUUUUUCAAAUGUCAGGAGGAGCCAUCUUUUCUCAGAUCUGAAGGACCCCAGCCUCUCCACGAACCCCUGGACCUUUGCCUGAGCGACCGCUGCCAACCUAAACGGCUGCCGUCAGAGGAGGGCAUGGAGGAAUGGGCGAAGAGGCGACGACAUAUUAAAAGGGAAUAUCAAAAUCAA